AACAAGCGGCGGCCUACCAUGCAAGUCGAGCGAGAUCUUCGGAUCUAGCGGCGGACGGGUGAGUAACGCGUGGGAACGUGCCCUUCUCUACGGAAUAGUCCCGGGAAACUGGGUUUAAUACCGUAUACGCCCUUCGGGGGAAAGAUUUAUCGGAGAAGGAUCGGCCCGCGUUGGAUUAGGUAGUUGGUGGGGUAAUGGCCUACCAAGCCGACGAUCCAUAGCUGGUUUGAGAGGAUGAUCAGCCACACUGGGACUGAGACACGGCCCAGACUCCUACGGGAGGCAGCAGUGGGGAAUCUUAGACAAUGGGCGCAAGCCUGAUCUAGCCAUGCCGCGUGAGUGACGAAGGCCCUAGGGUCGUAAAGCUCUUUCACCAGGGAUGAUAAUGACAGUACCUGGAGAAGAAACCCCGGCUAACUCCGUGCCAGCAGCCGCGGUAAUACGGAGGGGGUUAGCGUUGUUCGGAAUUACUGGGCGUAAAGCGCGCGUAGGCGGGCUGUUAAGUCGGGGGUGAAAUCCCGGGGCUCAACCCCGGAACUGCCCUCGAUACUGGCAGCCUAGAGUUCGAGAGAGGUGAGUGGAAUUCCGAGUGUAGAGGUGAAAUUCGUAGAUAUUCGGAGGAACACCAGUGGCGAAGGCG
rnacentral:rRNA from 1 species